ACCCCUGCUGUAGAGCAUUGGAUAGCUCAUUGGACUUCUAAUCCGAAGAGCAUGAGUUCGAAUCUUACCUGGGAUG